CUCGGAUCAGGUAGGGAUACCCGCUGAACUUAAGCAUAUCAAUAG
rnacentral:rRNA from 1 species